rnacentral:lncRNA from 1 species
CUCUAGAAAGGGCUGCAGUGUAAAGAAAACAAGCCAUAAACAGUGCAAGACACAUGGACCUCCUCUUUGUGUACUUGUUCUAGAGGCAGGAAGAUUAAUCUGGGAAGAUGCCCAAAGGUUCCAUCCAGUGACUUCUCCCCACAGGGCUCUUAAUCACUGAGAUACAGAUGCCUCCUAUGCCUACAGUAUAUUGGAAGUAGCAGGUACAAGGAUCAAAGACUGCUUGUCAUGAGGACUUAUUUGCUAUUAUCUAGUCUGGCCUUUUUUUUUUUAAACUA